rnacentral:tRNA from 1 species
GGAAGCGUGCCAGAGAGGAUGAAUGGGCCGCACUCGAAAUGCGGUAUCCCCUUAUACGGGAUCGGAGGUUCGAAUCCUCCCGCUUCCG